rnacentral:tRNA from 1 species
GGUCCGAUGGUGUAGCUGGUUAUCACACUCGCUUCACAACGAGCUUCUCGAUGGGGCCCGGGGUAAAUCCGCGAGAGGUCAUGAGUUCGACCCUCAUUCGGAUCA